AACGCACCUUGCGCUCCUUGGUAUUCCGAGGAGCAUGCCUGUUUGAGUGUCAUUUAAUUCUCAACCAUCCCUCGAUUCGUUUCGAGGUUUGGCUUGGAUUUUGGGGGCUGCCGGGCGACCCUAGGGUCUUCGGCUCUCCUUAAAAGCAUUAGCGAUGGUGGAACGAUCUAACCCCAUGCAUGAACGGCCUUCGACGUGAUAAUGAUCGUCGUGGCUGGAGUGCUAGCGGGCGUCGUGAAAUUGGCGCUUCUAAAUCUCGUCGAAAGACGAAACUCGAAACUUGACCUCAAAUCAGGUAGGACUACCCGCUGAACUUAA
rnacentral:misc_RNA from 1 species